GGCUGAUCUGGAGAGAGAGAAGUAGCCACCUCCCAUCUGUGGCCAGAGGAGCAGCCAGAGGGGACCCCAGCCAGGCACUGGCUCCCCCAUGACCCCUUCCCCGCUCCAACUGCCACCAGGUCACAUGUGACUGGGCAAAGCCAAUGGGUUGCAACGUUGGACUGACUCACAUUUUUGGCGUAAAACAUGAUGAAAAGAGUAAUCAUUUGGAUAAAGGGCAGCAGAGGGCAGAAGAAGAUUCCAAUCCUGCGAUGGAGAGAGGGCUCCCACCCGACUUCCCUCCCUGGAAAUGGAGGCUGGUGCUGGGCGCAACAGAUCACCUACCGGAUCAGGAGGAUGUAGACUUCGUGCCGCGGCAUCUCGUACCUCUCCACCAGCCUGAACAUGGAGUAGAAGCGCGGCACGACCAGGUUGAUGCAGGACACAACGAAAGGCAGUAACAGCACCGCCCCGGGGUUCUGGUGGGUCUUCAGGAACUGCAAGGGAUGGAGGAGAGAACCAAGAUGCCGACUGUGCACUGGACCCCUCGCUGCCUCACUGAGAAGGCCCCCACGAUGGAAAACACUAGAAGGAGCUCCGCUGUGGUUAACUAUCAAGCUACUAUGUAUUUAGCACUUAGCCUGUUCUACGCAAACUAUGGCUCAGAGAGGCAAAGAUGCUUGCCCAGGGUCACCCAGGAAGGAAGUGGCAGAUGGGAACCAAGGCAUGUCUGACCCAGGGGCCUGAGCUCAAACAGUCAUUCUGUGGCUUUGUUUUCUUUACCAAAAGUCUGGGGCAAUGAAGAUGCUCUCCCUCACUAUUGGAGGUUAGAAGAGUCUACUGAAGCUACCGCACGAGGAAAUACCACCGAUCCAUGGAACGUCUCCCCUCCUCAUGUGGCCUUGUUCGUUUCCACCAGUCCUCACCUGCCUUUGAGGACUGAACUGGGGUGCAGGGGGCCCCUCUGCCAGCCCACGCUGCACCUUUGUGUGAGGACAGGAGGGGCGCUGCACCUCCGGAGGGAUGCAGUGCCCUGGCGUUGGGCUUGGAGUAGGGCCUGAGCUGCCCUCUGCCAAGAGUCUUGGGGUUCUCCUGGAAACGCAAGAAAGUCAAGUUAACCCACAGAGCCCCUCCACAGCUAGCAAAGAUCCCCAGGGCAUAAGGAGCCAGAAACACAAGUCUGAGAAACACGAGGAAAUAAUCAGACAGCUCCAGAAGGUAGGACGUUGGAAACUACUAGACAAACUGGUCGGUUUCUGCAACAAGCCACUGUCAGGGGAAAAGGGUGCCAGGACUGGAAGCUUAUUCUAGAGUAAUAGAGUUGUAAGGGGAAAAAAACAACAGAAUGCAAAAAUCUGGUCUUUGAUUGAAUCUGGUCUGAAAAAGCAAAUAAUUAGAAAUUUUGUGGAAAAUUGGGAAAAUUUGAAUAUGGUCUAGAUUUUAGAUGAUAUUAAUUUUUAAUUUCAUUAGGCAUGCUAAUGGUAUUGUGACCACAGAAAAGUGUCCUUAUUUUUCAGAGAUGCAUGUUGAAGAAUUUCAGAGUAAAAUGUCCUGAUAUCUGUAAUUUAUUUUACAGAUGCUUCCAAAAACAAUAAGAUAAAACAAAUAUGGCAGUUUAAAAUCUACAUAGUAGGCAGAUGGGUGUUUAUUAUAUUGCUCUUUAUUUUUCUGUAUGUUUGAAAUUUUUCCUAGUAAAAUGCUCCCUAUAUACGAAUAUAUAAAAUAAAUAUAGUAAUGAGAAAAAAUGAAGGAGAAAAUUUACACAAUAAUCCCAUUUUAAUGCAUCUACUCAAGGAAAGUUUUUUUAAGAGAAAAAAAAGACAAAUGGAAGAACCCUACUUUGAACAAUCUACUGCAGGGAUUGGCAAGCUUUUUCAAUAAAGAGCUAGAUAAUAAAUAUCUUUGGUUUUGUGGGUCAUACGCAUCAGCUACUGCAGUUAUAUCGUGAAAGCAGCAUAGAUGACAUAUAAAUAAAUGUCUGUGGCCCUGUUCCCAAAGAACUUUACUUAUGGACACUGAAACUUGAAUCUUAUAUCAUUUUCAUGUUUCACAAAAUGUUAUCCUUCUUUUGAAUCAUUUUAAACCACUUAAAAUGUAAAAACCAACCUCAGUUCUCAGGGGAUACAAAAUCAGGAGACAGGCUAGAUUUGGCCCUCGGGCUGUAGUUAUAGAAACUGCUCUAUAGCAUCUCAGUGGCAGAAAUCUCUUCUCAAAGGUAAACACACAAAGCAGAGGUUAUAUGCUUCCAUAGGGAGCUGGGUAAAUAAACUAUAGUUGCUGUUAAAAAAGAAUAAUGUGGAUGUAUAAAAAUGUUCAAGAUAUAUAGUGAGCUAAAAAAGUUGCAAAAUAAGACUUGCAGUACAAUCCUAUCCUUUAUUUUUAAAAUAAUGAUUAUGUAUCUAUCAUCUAUUUAUCUAUUUAUCUAUCAUCUAUUUAUCAAUGUCCAUACGGGAAGAAAAAACAGUUUACGAAGAUACAUCCCAAACUGGGGAGUUGGACAAAGGAAGAAAGGUAAAAUGGACUUUUUCUUAAUUCUCUUCCAUAGUAGGAAUUUUUCAAAAGGAGCAUUGUAUUUUGCAGAGAUAAAAAUUAAAAAGGAAAAAAAUGUAGAUCUACCAACAGUAGCAUGAGCUGUCUACUACAUAUUGUUAGGUGAAAGAAAGCAGGUUGUAGACAAAAUACAACGAAUAAUUCAUCUUUGGUGAGAAAAGAAAAGGACUUCUGUGUACAUGCACAGAUGUGUCCAUAUGUGUGCCAAAAAAAGAACAGUAUGGACAACAGCACAGACUGUGCCCAGUAGUUACCUCUAGAGACAGAAAUGCCACUAGGAUGUGUAUAUAUUACUUUGGGGAAAAAAACAUUUUAAACACCCACUUUCCCCAUCCAUCGACCCCCAGGCAAAAUGAGAGCUCUGAGUGGAUGACCAGCAAGGUAUGUCCCUGGGUUUCUGAGCCGGUGAACUGGGAGGUCAGGGAAGUAGAA